UUUAAGCCCUGUCAGCUCUGCACUGGGCAUUUAAAGACAAGGCAGUCAAUGAUGAGAGGCUGCUUCUGAGUAAGGGAGCCAGGAGUUCUCCAGGACAGGGAAUUGGCUGAGUGCAGCAAGGCAGGAGAAGGACUCAGUGAUGCCAACAAUCAGAUGGAUUAUGUAGCAUUCUGACAUCCUCCUCCUAACAUGCCUGGUUAGGUGGCAUAACCCAUGUUACUAAUCCAGGAAGGAGGAAGCAGCAGCAGGAGCCAGGACAGGCAAGGGUCCACACAGACUCAACAAUGAUAGUUGAUGUAUAUGGAAUGCCACUGAAGAAGACUCGUCAAAACGCAUCUGGCAUUUAAAACAUUUAUUCUCAUGAAGAUUUUUCUGUGAUCCCAUUUGGCAAUCUACUUGGGAAGGACAUUCAUUUCAUCUGAGAACUGGAUUUUAUUACAUCUGGUGGAGCUUUGACAUUCAGCUGAGGAAAGGGACCCAUGAAGAGAGAAGAGAAGAGAAGAGAAGAGAAGAGAAGAGAAGAGAAGAGAAGAGAAGAGAAAUGGGGUCCAUGGAGGAGAAACGUUGUUGCUGCUGCUUAUGGUGCACAUAGGAGGGGACCAACUGAAGGGGACUUUGAUGAGGGCCCUUUCAAACCAGGCAUCCUGCUGAUGGCAUCAGGGGAGCACCUAGAUAAUUUUGGUGCCUGAUCCUCCCCCACCACAAGGCCCCUGCCACGAACCACCAGCACCAUGAGCCCCCCCCCCGAAACCUACUUUUGGGGGUCUCCUGCAGCCACCCUGCACCUGCCCCACUGAACCUCCAUCCACCUACCCAUGAUUUCAGCUGCCAUGUGCGUGGCCAAGGGGUGGUGGCCAGGGGGUGAGCCAAGCAGUCCUCCUCCCCCCCCCACCAUGGUGCCCAGCGUGACCCCUGGGUCUGUCUGCCCAGCCCAUUGGCUCUUGAUAACUGCGAGGCACUCCAGCGCACCUGAGCAGUUGAAAUAGAUUGCUACAAGCCCUUGACAGCAGGGUGGCUGCAGGAAGCCCCCCAAAGAAGGCUUUGGUGGGGCUCACAGUGGGGGCAAGGGCCUUGCAGCAAGGCUGGUCCGGGCACCAAAAUUACUUAGUGCGCCAGAUUUUUCCUUGGGUCACCUGCAACCUUGCUAUGCUACUGGUUAGGACUAGACCAAGGCCAUUGGUGUGCAUAUCUGGAUUAUCUUAGAUCAGUGACAUGAACUUGAAGAGCUGGAGUGAAUUAAAAGAAUUCACUCUUCUGUUGCUAGGCAAAGGCAGAAGGCCAAGCCCCUGUUAUUUAAUAUUUAUACUAUGCCUCAUCAGUGAGGUUCCCCACAGCUUUGCAACUAUCAGGGCUUACAUAUGUAAACUACUACUAUGAUGAAUAUUUACAGUAUAUACUGCUUUUCAAUGGGUGGGGGAGGUCAUGAGGUCCAUGUUGGGAAUUUGCCACAAGUAUUUCCACAGUUCUUUAUAUGGGGCAUGCUUUUCUAUGUGAAUGUCUCUCUGUACUGGCUUGGGUGGAGUCAGGGUUUGUUUGUCUGCUCCUUACUUGUUGCCUUGAAUUCAAACUGAGAAGUUCUCCCUCUCUAUUUUGUUUGGUUUUGUUUUCUUAGCCUAUGUUUAGAUAGUAAUAAAUAUCAAACUUGUUUCCCAGUUAAA